UACGUUGGAGAAUGAAAAGCACAGACACACUACAAAAUCUGCCACAAUCUACUCCAAUUUUUUCCUAAUCUAUGGCGUUCCUACACACACUGAUCUUUUCACCAUUUUACCACCAUUUAAACGACUUCUACUUUAGCCAAUGUUUUCACCCCACUCUGCAAACACAGACUUUCUGAAAUCAAGCAAUCCAGAGCGGAUGACCCAGCUGGUGGAUCCUCAUCCACACUUUUAUGACUGCAAAAGGAGACACAUGAAGUGAAACAACAGUAGCAGAAUCUACCCAGGGAGUGAGAAAAAAAGGAAGGGGAGAGGGAAGAAAGGUCUAUACUGAUACAGGCUCUGGAUGCGAGGCAGUGGCAGAAAUGAAGACUAAAGAAGGUUAUGUGAAAGACAUCAGAGAAGUAGAUGAAUGGAAUUUGGUAAACAAUUGGAAUCCUGAUCUAAUGUGUGACCACACCCUUUCAAACCAGAGGACCCUACCUGCCUCAGAGAACAUUAUGAUCAUGAAAGCAGACAAGCAAAGGUAAAUAAUGAACUGAGUUCAGCUUUUGGAGCCCAGAAAUGACAGCAGUUUUGAAAGCUUUGUUGGGAAAGAAAGGGAAGCUCCAAAUCCCAACUGCUCUUAAGUAUGAAGAACAAAGCAUGCAGCCUACACAAACACAUUUUCUAAAAUCAAUAGGCAAAGCAAAUAUGGAGCAUGAAGGUGGAAGUUGCCUUCUACAGAGAGAGGAAGUGAAGUGAUUUUCCAGUUGGAAGAACCAAAGAGUGGGGACAGGUCAGAGGAAUUGAAACUAGACUUACCUGGAGCUUAGAUCCUUGAGAA